CGCCAGAGUCGUCACUUGUCUCCAUCGUUGGGUACGUGAUCCGCUACCGUAGUUGGUUCUUCCGCCGCCGCCUCCUCAUGUCUCAUCUUCCUGCGCCCGCCACCGCCCUCAUCGUCCACUGCGGAAGCCACGAUCGUCUCAGGACUUGGCUGAUCUCGCGAUUCAGAUGCUGGGCAUAAAUUAUGCUAGGAUGAGUCGCGCACCUGGUGUGCUCGAUGAAAUGCCAAACAAGGAAGGCCACGGUCCAUGCACCUUUGUUUGCUGACUGCUUCAGAAAUGCACACGGCUUUGCUUUGUUGGUCAGAUACUCGCUAGUUAAUUAGAGCAACAAUAAUCUUUCAAUCUUUCUGCUGUGAAGGUAUGCAGCGAAGGUCCACACUUAAGCACUUAUAUCCACUGCUUAUAAUUUCAUAUAUUAAAAAUUUUACCUAGCGAUGCCCUACUUCCUAAUUCCAGCAAAUGAAAAUGCCUGUGUCCAAGACAGCACUUGCUGCUCAGUCUUUUCCUAUAAGCAAUUAACUAUUUUCCCUAAACUCAUCUUUAUACAGGGAGGCUGGUGCUCCCGUAAAGAGUGCAUCAUAUCCCCAGCUAGCAGAAGUUCAACGUACAAUUUAUCUGAGUGGAGUGGACAAGCAAACAGAUAUGUAAGCAGUUGAUGGUCACAUAUAAAGGUUGAUGUCAGAAACGGUUGUGCCUCAAUCCGUUAGAAAACCAUUGCAACUACCUUCUCUGUUGUCUAUGUGGACAAUUCUUAGGCCUUGUUUAGUUUCCAAAAAAAUUUGCAAAAUUUUUCAGAUUCCCCGUCACAUCGAAUCUUUAGACACAUGCAUGAAGUAUUAAAUCUAGACAAA